CCUACGGGAGGCAGCAGUGGGGAAUAUUGGGCAAUGGACGCAACUCUGACCCAGCAACGCCGCGUGAAUGAUGAAGGUCUUCGGAUUGUAAACUUCUGUUGUCAGGGAUGAACCCAGUGACGGUACCCCACUAGCAAGCCACGGCUAACUACGUGCCAGCAGCCGCGGUACUACGGAGGGUGCGAGCGUUAUCCGGAUUUAUUGGGUGUAAAGGGUGGGUAGGCGGGCUUGUAAGUCAGGGGUAAAAGCCCCGGGCUCAACCUCGGCCAAGCCGUUGAAACUGGUGGUUUGGAGUGUUGGAGAGGCAGGCGGAAUGCGUAGUGUAGCGGUGAAAUGCGUAGAUAUUGGGAGGAACACCGGUGGCGAAGGCGGUAUGCUGGAGGGGAACUGACGCUGAGGCACGAAAGCGUGGGUAGCGAACAGGAUUAGAUACCCGAGUAGUC
rnacentral:rRNA from 1 species